GCGGGUGUAGCUCAGAGGUAGAGCACAACCUUGCCAAGGUUGGGGUCGAGGGUUCGAAUCCCUUCGCCCGCUCCA
rnacentral:tRNA from 3 species